GGUCAAAGUUUCUGUUUAUGUUUCGAGCGAUAUUUGAACUAUUGCGUGGACACGAGGGCGAAGUUUGCAGCUUUCGAUGUACUAAUACGCGUGGAAAUAAUAAAAUACAAAAUUUCGGUUUGAAUGUGCCAACGUCACAUAAAAUAUUCUAUGCUUAAUGGUGUUGCUAAAAAGGUAUACACAUUCAAUCGUGUGUCCCGAAAUCCGAGAUUGAACCAGAGAUUCCACGCCC